GACGAACGCUGGCGGCAUGCCUAAUACAUGCAAGUCGAGCGGAGUUGAUAGAAAGCUUGCUUUCUUGAUACUUAGCGGCGGACGGGUGAGUAACACGUAGGCAACCUGCCCUCAAGCUUGGGACAACUACCGGAAACGGUAGCUAAUACCGAAUACUUGUUUUCUUCGCCUGAAGGGAACUGGAAAGACGGAGCAAUCUGUCACUUGGGGAUGGGCCUGCGGCGCAUUAGCUAGUUGGUGAGGUAACGGCUCACCAAGGCGACGAUGCGUAGCCGACCUGAGAGGGUGAUCGGCAACACUGGGACUGAGACACGGCCCAGACUCCUACGGGAGGCAGCAGUAGGGAAUCUUCCGCAAUGGGCGAAAGCCUGACGGAGCAAUGCCGCGUGAGUGAUGAAGGUUUUCGGAUCGUAAAGCUCUGUUGCCAGGGAAGAACGCUUGGGAGAGUAACUGCUCCCAAGGCGACGGUACCUGAGAAGAAAGCCCCGGCUAACUACGUGCCAGCCGCCGCGGUAA
rnacentral:rRNA from 1 species